rnacentral:rRNA from 1 species
UGCUGUGUAAGUCCAUUGGGAAAUCGACCAGCUCAACUGGUCGGCGUCCGGUGGAAACUACACAGCUUGGGGCCGAGAGACUCAACGGGUACGUCCGGGGUAGGAGUGAAAUCCUGUAAUCCUGGACGGACCACCAAUGGGGAAACCACGUUGAGAGACCGGACCCGACAGUGAGGGACGAAAGCCAGGUUCUCGAACCAGAUUAGAUACCCGGGUAGUCCUGGCUGUAAACAAUGCUCGCUAGGUAUGUCACGCGCCAUGAGCACGUGAUGUGCCGUAGUGAAGACGAUAAGCGAGCCGCCUGGGAAGUACGUCCGCAAGGAUGAAACUUAAAGGAAUUGGCGGGGGAGCACCACAACCGGAGGAGCCUGCGGUUUAAUUGGACUCAACGCCGGACAUCUCACCGGUCCCGACAGUAGUAAUGACAGUCAGGUUGACGACUUUACUCGACGCUACUGAGAGGAGGUGCAUGGCCGCCGUCAGCUCGUACCGUGAGGCGUCCUGUUAAGUCAGGCAACGAGCGAGACCCACACUUCUAGUUGCCAGCAAACACCCCUGCGGUGGUUGGGUACACUAGGAGGACUGCCAUUGCUAAAAUGGAGGAAGGAAUGGGCAACGGUAGGUCAGUAUGCCCCGAAUGGACCGGGCAACACGCGGGCUACAAUGGCUCUGACAGUGGGAUGCAACGCCGAGAGGCGGAGCUAAUCUCCAAACGGAGUCGUAGUUCGGAUUGCGGGCUGAAAACCGCC